rnacentral:ncRNA from 2 species
CUAUGCUCACGGCGGGUCGGUCCCGGCCCGCCACCACAAAAGACGGCAAAAAGGGUAGGAAGCCGGUGGAAAUCCGGCGCGGUCCCGCCACUGUGAGCGCGGCAGCCGGUAUUGCGACGGCCGCGCGAGCCAGGAACUCCCGCCGUCUUCAACCCGCCCGG